CGUUCUGCGGACCGAUGGCCUCCAGCAUCCGCCCUUAAACCCACCCCUUCCUCCGCACACCCUGCGGCAGGGGCAGGGGCAGGUGGAGGAGUCGCCCACCUGCUGGAAGGAGGCGCGGGGCCCCCUGCCGCGGGCGCAGAGCGAGCAGGGAUCUGGCCUCCCGCUUGCGUACUCAAUCCCCGCACGAGUCCUGGAAACUUGAUUUAUUCGGUUAUUCAACAGCUGUUGACUGAAUACCUACCGCUUGCCGGGAACUUUCCGGGCCCUGAGCCUAGUCACUCAUUGAUUCUGUUCUUAGAGUACAAAUUAUGGGCGGAGAGGAGCCUUAGGCAAAAAUAUCCACACGAUUCGGCGUAUCACUGCAAAGGGAAACCCUAUGAUCGAAGGAAGAUUCUGGGACUUAGGCUGGAGAUCAGGGCAUUCUCUAAAGAAGUGACCUUGAGGUAUCAAGGGGAAUCUAGUUAACUGAGGGAGGGUCUAGGCAAGGAGAAGCACUUGUGUAAAGAUCCUGUGGCUGAAAUGGAAAGAAAACUAACCCACUGAGAGCUCCAGGAACAAGGAGGAGAUUAGGAUUGCAAUGAGGCAUAAAUGGUGGUCAAAGGCCAGAUCCUUGCGGGCCCUGUUUAGGAUUCAACUCUUUAUCCUAAAACUUGCCACUGAGAGGUUUCAGUUAUGAUGCUCUGAAUAGAUUCCGAAUAGUUGCCCAAUCCUUGUGAGCACCUGCUGCAUUUUCUCUCAUAAAUACUACUUACCGCAUAGUUGAACAACUCCAAGUGGCAGAUGGCUGUCAAGUCAUUGCUAGAAGGGAUCUGGAAUAGGGCAAAACAAAGUUGACUACCACCCCCACCACCAUGCCCCUUUUUCCAUCAACAUUUGAAUAGCAAGUUGGAUUAUACCAAGACAAGGUACUUCAAGGGAGUUGUUCCUGACUUUUUGUACGCAAAACUUGCUGAUUAGAGGUUUGUUUUUUUCCUAGUUGAGUAUUUGCUUUCUUCUUUUUAGACUUCUUCCCUGAACCUUCCCCCAGUGCUAGUGGGGUUACCAGGAAGGCACACUAAGAUGCUCUGCAGAGCCCUUCACUCAUCUUAGAGCAACCCUGCGAAAUAAGCAUUAGCUCAUUUUACAGUUAAUGAAAUCCAGGCUCAAAGUCACACAACUGGAAGAGUGGAAAAGAUUCAAUUAGUUUUGUCUAAAACCCUGAGAGGAGAGGCACCUGGGGGACUCAGUUGGUUAAGCAUCUGCCUUCGGCUCAGCUCCUGAUCCCGGGGUUCUGGGAUCAAGCCCCACCUCGGGCUCCCCACUCAGCAGGAAGCCUGCUUCUCCCUCUCCCUCUCUGGCUCUCUCGAUUUGUCAAAUAAACACAGUCUUUAAAAAUAAAACCCAGAGAGGAGAGCCAUACCUUCCUUAAAUGAGUCUCACAUGGGACGAUCCAUUAUUGCGUGCUUGCUUUGCAUCGGCCUUGCCCUCAGUGUGUUGAUGACAUGAGAUUUAAGUAUUUAAGACGUGGUUUCAGCCUUGAGCAUUCAUUCGUUGAUUAUUUUUGAAAAGGCUUCUUGGUGUAGGCAGGAGGUGGGAAGCAGGUUUGGGCUAUAGCAGUAAGAAAGGUCUCUGUCCUCCUGGGGUUCACAGCCUCCUGGGAGAAACAGAAAAUAACACAUAGAUGUAGAAUGAAAUGGGUGACAGUGCCUGAGGGAAGCGUGCCCGUUCCAGUCACAGGGAAUAGCGAGCACCCCUUUAGAACAGAUUGGAAGUAGUAAGGGUGGAAGUGGGCAGACGCUGAGGAGGCCAUUGCAGGGAGUCGGGGAUGGUGGUCUCCUGUGGUAGCUGAGGAGGCUAGAGGUGGACUUGGGAUGUGCACGGGUGACAUAAUCAGUAGGAUUGGUUGAAUAAUUGUAUUUACGAUUUCUUGGGUCAUAGGAAAAGCAAGACAUCCAGACUUCUAAACUGUGGAGUCCACUCUACUGAGUCAUGCUCGUGUCACUUCCCCAGGCCCUCGGCUGGUAGAAGACAGCUGCUGUCCCCUAGCACAGCCCCACCAGGGCGCAGUCGGUGCAACAGCCUGUCACCGUUUCCAGCAACAAUUAAAUCACUCGCUCAUUUGAUAUUCAACACGUGUCUGCAUAUGUAUCGUGCCCCAGGAUAGUACAGCUAAAUGAUGACUGGAGUUAAAUGGUGAGCUCUAAUUUAUUAAGCCUUUCGAAAUAACUCUUCUCGGAUUUCCAGAACUACAACUAACAUGAAAACACGAACCGUCAACAUUAUCUUUCCAAAGUCCGCAUUUCGAGGGAUGGGGAGCUGAGAGCAGAGAAGUGAAGUGAUUUGCCCAAGAAAACCCAGCCAGUUACUGGAAAUGGAACUAGCUGUCUUCGCAGCCACACUAAAACUGAUGUGGAGAAGCAACAUGGUAUGCGAUAACGGUUCCUAACUUUUACUCCAGCAGGCGAAUUGUUUUCAGUCUUCAAAGAACUCCAACUGAUUAAAGAAAUCCAAGUGGAUCCUUCUCUUAUUGGAAAAGAAGGUGGGGUUUCCCCAUCUUCCUAGCAUCUCCCUCCUUCCCAGAGCGACUGUAUUUGUAGCAAGAUGGAAUUGACAUUGAACAGUUCCAGCAGCUCUGAGGGGUCGGCAAAACCCAGGUACUUUACCCUCACUCAGCCAUCCGCUGAGGUUCUGUUUCCAUUUUAUGGAUGAGGAACCUGAGGCUGAGAAUGGACAAUAUUUGUUUUUGGCGUACCACUGCCUGCUGCCAGAGUGUGGAAGGUCGCUAGACCCAGGACUGCAUCUUUAGGAUCGAUGUUGAGAGGAUUUCAGACGUCGUAACAUCUCUCGUCCAAUUGCUGCCCGACUCAUAAGCAUUCCAGGAAGGUGGUCCAAUCCUUUCAGAAGCUUUCACUUUGUACAAUACAUUUUACAGGAAAAAACAAUCGUGGUCGCACAGCUGGAUGCAGGAUGUCAUCUCACGUAGUCCUAAACUAGCUGGAUUGUCUACACGUGUGUGAGUAGGCAGGGGAAUGGCCCACGAUUGUUUUAUAAUAAACUUGGUUUUUUUCCCCUCAUAACAGAAGUAUUCUUGCUAAUUACAAUUCUGUUAAAAACAAAAGGUACAAUAAAGGAAAUAAUCUCACCAUCUGAAGAUAACCCUUGUUAAGAAAAAUGUUAAUAGGAAGAAAACAUUUAAAGAAAAAAAACUCUGAAGCACUAAGAUAACCACCAUUAACACUUUGGUAUAUAUCAUGCCAGCUGUUUUGUUUCUUCACACUCACAUACAUGACGUGCAUUUAAAAAAAUAAAUUGAUCACUUUAAGUCUAUUGUCUAAUAACUUGUUUUCAGAUAAUGUAGACUUUUUUCCAUGUUAAAAAAAUGUAGUUCUCCAAUACUGUUUUUAAUGCUUACACACUAUUCUAUUGUACAGCGGUAUCAGACUUUAUUUAAUCCAGCCCAUAUUGUUGGACAUUUAGGUCAUUUCAAGAUUUUUUUAUAUUACAAGCAGAAGAAUAUUUGCUUACUUCCCUUAAAAUACUUCCAAGAGUGGAAUUUCAGGAUCCAAGAGAAUGCAUAUUUAAAAUUUUGAUUCAGACUGUCAAACUACUAUUUAUAUUUCGGACUGGUAUGUGUAAGGGUGGCUGCUUCCUACAUUGUUGCCAACACAAGGUGGUGUCACUUAUCUCUUUAACCUCUGCCCGGGUUUUUGGAGAAAAUAUCUCUGCCUUCAUUAUGGUUUUAUUCGCAUUUCUGUCUCCCUCCCCACACUUUGUCUUUGUUUUUGUUUGUAUUAAUAAAUUGGUUGUUCAUU